rnacentral:lncRNA from 1 species
CUGUGGUUGUAGCGUCCGCUGCGGGCUGGGAGAGGACGCGGAGUGAGAGGCGCUCGGUGCCCGUGCGGAGCGGUGUGCGCCCGGUGGGAGUGCCGCGUAGCGCUCAGAUGCCAUCAAUGGCUCCAAAAUCAAGUGACUUUUCCCUCUGGGAGUGGCAGCAUUUCUACGAGCAAUGCCUACUUUGUCUGUAGGUUUUCUGACAAAGCGGAUCGGAUGGAAACUUCCCCAUCUAUCAAACGACCGGAUAAAAAGGGCACGGGAGAGUCCUGAAAGAUUUCUUGCAAGAUUUAUUUUGCUAAACGAGGAUGCAUGUAUGGGAUCCAAGAGCAACGGUGGGAUGGGAGAUGGCACGGAGCGAAGACCCCCAGAUCUCCUUAACCAUGGCUUUAAUAUACUCCUCAAAUUUGGAACAAUGAGGGAAUGAAUUUCUCAGAUGUGCAUGGUAAUCAGUGCUGAAGAGAAUUUCUGCCCAGGACUUCAUCUGGAGUUUCUGACAUCUCCUGCCUAUGUGUAGGGGUGAGAGGAGCUGGAAAAGCUGCUGUGCCAUAGCCAUAAACUUCAGUGUUCCACUGUUGUGAUGAUAAGACAAAGGAAACCUGUUAGAUGUGGCGUAGUAUUCCUUUAGACACGUGCAUAGCUGAACAGAAGAUGUUGCUAUCCAACUCUGUGUCACAGGCUCUGCAUCCUGCCCGCCCUCCCCUAACACUGCAGAUACAGGUAGAGCAAACCCCAAGGGCAGGCAGCGCCUGCAUCCACCACUGUCACAUGGAUACCCCUCCCACCAUUGCCUGGCAAUAAAAAUGCAGUUCUGAAAAAGAAAAGCGGUGUUAUGCAAAUAUGAAGCAUGGGAGGAAGGAUUUAAUGUGAGACAAUGGUCCCUUAAUGAAAGGCACAAACAUCAGUCACUCACGGCUGAAUGAGUUGAUCUGGAGCUGGGUGGAGUGACAGCCCAGAAAGCUUCACAUUAACUCAAUUAAAUCCCAUUAUUCUUUAGAUUUUUUAAAAAUAAUGAAAUUAAUUUCACGUGACUGUGAAAGGAGCUGGAAUGACUGCCAAAAACUGUUCUCGUGGCAGGCUACAGAGGUGGGAUUAGCUAGUAAUUGUGGCACCAGGCUGGUGCUUGGGAGAGGUGGGCUUUGCUUUGCUGCGUGCUCCGUGGGGGCCUGGUGUGCAUCCCGUGGGCUCUGAUGUCUCAGCUGCCCGGCUCUGGAUGGUGAUAGGACUCUUUGUACGCACAGAGCAGUGCUGGAGACAGCGCUCAGCUUGCGGGAUGGGGAGGUGUCACUGCAGCUGGAGCAUCUCUUCCAGGAUCCCAACAAUGCUCCUUUGGCCUGGGCUGGGAUCUCCUGCAUGUUCCUGUAGGAAUGCCAUGGAGAGCGUGUUGAGUUGCUUCCUUUCAGUAGGUGUAGGGAGCUGGACUCCAAUGGUCCUUGUGGGUCUUUUCCAGCUUGGGUUAUUCUAUAAUUCUGCGAUUCUAUUGCCAUGGAAAAGAACCUGCCUUUCUUGUGAGGUCAUCACAAUUUCAGUACUUGAGCAUUGAGAUAUAGCUGUUUGUAUUGAGCCAUGCUGCUUUGGACAGGAAAAAUUCAGUGGGGAAUUGUUGGCUGGCUGCUAUCUGCACACGAAUCUCUCUUUAACGUAUUGCCUUUCUCCUUUCCCAACCCUUUAUUUGCAUUCAGGUUGCUGGUUCUUUCCAAGGAAAUCAUUGAGUAUGCCACCAGGUACAUCCUCACAGAGCUAGAAGAAGCCACUGGAGCAGCUGCUGGCUCCGCCAUCCCCCUCUCUUCUGACUGCAGGACUGCUCCAAUGCUAAUGCUUUGCACGUGGGAUUCAUCUGCCUUGAGCUCUUGAUGUUGAGAGUUAAUCAUUGGACUGCAAACUUGUCACCUACGGCUCUCCAUAUAGUUAAUGGAGAGAAAUAGACACCUCCAGAAGGCAGCGUGUCUCAUCUAUCUUGGAUAUCUGUGGGAAGAUGAAAUGAGCUGCUUCUUGGAGCUACCCAUUUCUCUCACUGGUCUGAAGGGAGCCGAGGGUGCUGGAUCAGAUGGAGGUGAUUAACAUUUAGAUAUGUAUGGCAAAGUGAAAUGAAUCUCACCUCUUUUGAGUAAUUCUCAUUGCCUUGACCUGGUGGUGACUGAAAACCUCUUGAGACCAUUCUGCAUAGCACAUCAAAUCCUAGCCCGGGGCAAACCUGAGCAGCUUUGCAGUUUUCCAGCAAAUGAAAGCACUGCUGAUCAGUCGGGUCAAUCCCCAUGCAGCAGGAUGAUGCUAGUCUGGGAGGAGGCAAAGAAAUGUUGUAAAGCAGGGGUGCCCUUUCUCUGUGGGGUGCUUCCACCUACCUCUACGCUGUGGCUCAGUGCUCAGAAACAAGUGUAUCCAGAUUCACUUUUUCCUGCCCUGAAGAGCCCCGCGAGUAUAUAAAGUGGGGCUAUAAGAAAAAAGGAGACACACUUUUUAGCGGGGUCUGUGGUGACAGGACAAGGGGAAAUGGUUUCCCAUUAAAAGAGGGGAAGUUUAGAUUAGAUUAGAUAUAAGGAAGAAGUUUUUUACAGUAAGAGUGGUGAAACACUGGAACAGUUUGCCCAGAGAGGUGGUGGAUGCCUCAUCUCUAGGGACAAUUAAGGUCAGGCUGGACAGGGCUCUAGGCAACCUGAUCAAGCUGUGGAUGGCCCUGUUCUUGGCAGGGGAGUUGGACCAGAUGACCUUUGGUUGUCCUUUCCAACUCAAACAAUUCUGUGGUUCCGCGAAACAGUCUGUUUGUCAGCAUGAAUGGGAUUCCAAUGCUCAUUUUAAAGGCUUUCGCAGCUCUCUGAAGCACCUUGUGCUGACUGCAUGUGAGAGAUGCUGUGGGAGGUGGUCCUCUCAAAGCUGCCUCUUCCCCAAGCUCAGGAUGCAGUCUGUUCUCCUAAGGAGACAAUCCCCCCUUUUUUUUUUGUCUUCUAUGUAUAAGUGAUUUACUGUGCUGUCAGUGCCCAGUAAUCUAUUGCUCUGCAACUCCUCGUCACAAGCAAAUUAACGAACCAGCAUCCUCAUUUAAUUUGGAUUAAACUUUGCAGUUAAGAGCUGACAGAAGGCACCAAAAAUACCGGCGUAAUUGCUGUGUAUUUCUAUGUCUGAGCUCCUCAGCAUUACUGUCAGGCUGAUGUUUGCCGUGAGUGGUCCCUGGUUGCGAACAGGGCCCUGAAGUAUAAACAGAUGGGAUUUCUGCAAGAAAACUUGUGAAAUUUCAGGUAACCAACAUGGCUUCAGCAGGGGCAAGUCAUGUCUGACAAACUUGGUGGCCUUUCAUGAUGGAGUUACAGCAUAAGUGGAUAAAGCAAGAGCAACUGAUGUCAUCUACCUGGACUUGUGCAAUUUGAUGCUGUCCCACAUGACAUCCUGGUUGCCAAAUCGGAAAAAAUGGACUUGAUGAAUGGACCACUGGCUGGACAAGGAAUUGGCUGGAUGGCCACACUCAGAGAGUUGCAAUCAAAGGCUCAGUGUCCAUGUGGAGACCGGCAGUGAGUGGCGUUCCUCAGGGAUCAGUACUGGGACCAGUGUUAUUUAAUACCUUUGUAGGCAACAUGGACAGUGGGAUAGAGCGCCCCCUCAUCAAGUUUGCAGGUGACACCAAGCUGAGUGGUGCAGUUGACACACGAGAGGGAAGGGAUGCCAUCCAGAGGAGGGCCACGAAGGUGAUUAGAGGGCUGGAGCACCACCCUAACAAAGACAGGCUGAGAGAGUUGGGGUUUUUCAGCCUAGAGAAGAGAAGGUUCCAGUGGAACCUUAUAGAGUCUUUCCAGUACCUGAAGGGGGCCUACAGGAAGCUGAGGAGGGACUUUUUACAAGGGCAUGUAGUGACAGGAUGAGGGGAAAUGGUUUUAAACUGGAAGAGGGUAGAUUUAGACCAGAUAUUAGGAAGAAAUUCUUUCCUAUGAGGGUUGUGGGACACUGGAACAGGUUGCCCAGUGAGGCUGUGGAUGCCCCCUCCCAGUAAGCAUGUAAGGACAGCCUGGAUGGGGUUUUGAGCAACCUUGUCUAGAGGAAGGUGUCCCUGCCUAUAGCAGGGGGUUGGAACUAGAUGUUCUUAAAUGACCCUUCCGACCCAAACCAUUCUAUGAUUCUAUGAUUCUAUGAAAAGCACAGCUGCCCUUUUAAAAAAUACUGUCAUAAUAAAAGUUGCUGAAAUUCAAAUCUUGGCCAGACUGUAUUCCUCAGCAAUAAGAAGGUAGCAGUGGGUCACUGGCUUGCUGUCACUUUGCAGUCUUCACUUGUCCCUGUGAUGCACAGCCUGGUGCCAGCAGCACCAUCCGGCCUUGUGUGAGGUGGCCUCCGUGACGGCUUGGUGAUGACAGGGCUUGCCCACAGCAUGAUUCUGCUGAGCCAAGGCAAAGUCUGCUUGCAGCUUGUUCAUUUGCACAGUGGUCAUAAGAAUUCUGUAUCACCUUGCAUACGUGCCCUGCUCUGGGUGCUUCCCUUCCAUCUCUGUCAGCAGUAUGGGUAAAUGCUCAGCAAAUGUCACUCCUACUCCUUUAUUCUCUAUCUGCUGGCUUGCAAGCUUGUUUGUCUUGUAGCAUCCUCCUGGCCUUGGCAGAUCAUUCUUGCACAGGCAUUCCUUUGCUGCUCUCAGCUUGUUUGGGGUCUGCUUGGUUAAUGCUUUGGUUGUGCCUUAGUAUGAUUUAUCCCCGACUGACGCCCCCACCAAGGGAGGUGUUGGCUCAAGCUGUGUUCACUAAGUUACAUCAGAGCUCAAGGUACAGCAGAGCUAUGGGAUCAAGCCCAUCUGCAAUCCUCAUUAAACAGCCCCGUGAAGGAGUCUGGGGUAUGCUUGGAUUUUUACCAAUUUAUGUAUUGUUAUUGAGGAAGGAGAUUUGGUGGACACCUCUCUGAACUCAGUAUAAGCUCCUAAUGCUGAUUGUAAUGUGAUCAAGCACACAACACAGAGCACUCUUGGCAGAGGACUGUAUGCCUCUUAUUUAACUGUCGCCUACACUUAAUUCAUUGAAUUAUAAAAUUAUGCUUUUGGAUUUUGCUAUAAGUAACCAAUGGAUGGAAAUGAAACCUUAAAUUUAGUCCACAAUUAAAUUGAGCAGGACC